GCCCAGGUGGCGGAAAUGGUAGACGCGCAUGGUUGAGGGCCAUGUGUCCGUUAAGGACGUGCAGGUUCAAUUCCUGUCCUGGGCA
rnacentral:tRNA from 1 species